UAGGGGGCAAGCGUUAUCCGGAUUUACUGGGUGUAAAGGGUGCGUAGGUGGCAGGGCAAGUCAGAUGUGAAAGCCCGGGGCCCAACCCCGGUACUGCAUUUGAAACUGUCCGGCUGGAGUGCAGGAGAGGUAAGCGGAAUUCCUAGUGUAGCGGUGAAAUGCGUAGAUAUUAGGAGGAACACCAGUGGCGAAGGCGGCUUACUGAACUGUAACUGACACUGAGGCACGAAAGCGUGGGGAGCAA
rnacentral:rRNA from 1 species